rnacentral:rRNA from 1 species
CGACUGCUAAGACUGGAUAGGAAACAAAAAGGCAUCUUUUUGUUUUUAAAAGACCUUCUUACGAAGGUAUGCUUAAAGAGGGGCUUGCGCCACAUUAGUUAGUUGGUAGAGUAAAAGCCUACCAAGACGUGGAUGUGUAGCUGGACUGAGAGGUUGAAGAGCCACAUUGGGACUGAGACACGGCCCAAACUCCUACGGGAGGCCGCAGUAGGGAAUUUUCGGCAAUGGAGGAAACUCUGACCGAGCAACGCCGCGUGAACGAUGAAGUAUUUCGGUAUGUAAAGUUCUUUUAUUGAAGAAGAAAAAGUAUUGGAAAAACUAUAUUGACGUUAUUCAAUGACUAAGCCCCAGGCUAACUAUGUGCCAGCAGCCGCGGUAAGACAUAGGGGGCGAGCGUUAUCCGGAAUUAUUGGGCGUAAACGGUGCGUAGGCUGUUAGAUAUGUCUAUAAUUUAAUUUCAGUGCUUAACGCUGUCUUGUUAUAGAAACUGUCUUGACUAGAGUGAGAUAGAGGCAAGCGGCAUUCCAUGUGUAGCGGUAAAAUGUGUAAAUAUAUGGAGGAACACCAGAAUCGUAGGCGGCUUGCUGGGUCUUUACUGACGCUGAGGCACGAAAGCGUGGGUAGCAAACAGGAUUAGAUACCCUGGUAGUCCACGCCGUAAAAGAUGAGUACUAAGUGUCGGGGUAAAACUCGGUACUGAAGUUAACACAUUAAGUACUCCGCCUGAGUAGUACGUACGCAAGUAUGAAACUUAAAGGAAUUGACGGGACUCCGCACAAGCGGUGGAUCAUGUUGUUUAAUUCGAAGAUACCCGAAAAAUCUUACCAGGUCUUGACAUACUCUGCAAAGCUAUAGAAAUAUAGUGGAGGUUAUCAGGAAUACAGGGGUUGCAUGGUUGUCGUCAGUUCGUGUCGUGAGAUGUUAGGUUAAGUCCUAAAACGAGCGCAACCCUUGUCGUUAAUUGCCAGCACAUAAUGGUGGGGACUUUACCGAGACUGCCAAUUAAACAUUGGAGGAAGGUGAGGAUUACGUCAAAUCAUCGUGCCCCUUAUGAUCUGGGCUACAAACGUGAUACUUUGGCUGUGACAAAGAGUAGCUGAAACGCGAGUUUUUAGCCAAUCUCAAAAAAGCAGUCUCAGUUCGGAUUGAAGUCUGUAACUCGACUUCAUGAAGUUGGAAUCGCUAGUAAUCGCGAAUCAGCAUGUCGCGAUGAAUACGUUCUC